AAAAAAGGUAAGCUACUAAGAGCGAAUGGUGGAUGCCUUGACUGGUAAAGGCGAUGAAGGACGUACUAGACUGCGAUAAGCUACGGGGAGCUGUCAAGAAGCUUUGAUCCGUAGAUUUCCGAAUGGGGCAACCCAAUGUAUAGAGAUAUACAUUACCUAUAUAGGAGCGAACGAGGGGAAUUGAAACAUCUUAGUACCCUCAGGAAAAGAAAUCAAUAGAGAUUGCGUCAGUAGCGGCGAGCGAAAGCGCAAGAGGGCAAACCCAGUGCUUGCACUGGGGGUUGUAGGACUGCAAUGUGCAAGAGGUGAGUUUAGCAGAACAUUCUGGAAAGUAUAGCCAUAGAGGGUGAUAGUCCCGUAUGCGAAAAACAAACCUUAGCUAGCAGUAUCCUGAGUAGGGCGGGACACGAGAAAUCCUGUCUGAAGCUGGGUCGACCACGAUCCAACCCUAAAUACUAAUACCAGAUCGAUAGUGCACAAGUACCGUGAGGGAAAGGUGAAAAGAACUGAGGUGAUCAGAGUGAAAUAGAACCUGAAACCAUUUGCUUACAAUCAUUCAGAGCCCUAUGUAGCAAUACAGGGUGAUGGACUGCCUUUUGCAUAAUGAGCCUGCGAGUUGUGGUGUCUGGCAAGGUUAAGCAAACGCGAAGCCGUAGCGAAAGCGAGUCUGAAUAGGGCGCUUAGUCAGAUGCUGCAGACCCGAAACGAAGUGAUCUAUCCAUGAGCAAGUUGAAGCUAGUGUAAGAACUAGUGGAGGACUGAACCCAUAGGCGUUGAAAAGCCCCGGGAUGACUUGUGGAUAGGGGUGAAAGGCCAAUCAAACUUCGUGAUAGCUGGUUCUCUCCGAAAUAUAUUUAGGUAUAGCGUUGUGUCGUAAUAUAAGGGGGUAGAGCACUGAAUGGGCUAGGGCAUACACCAAUGUACCAAACCCUAUCAAACUCCGAAUACCUUAUAUGUAAUCACAGCAGUCAGGCGGCGAGUGAUAAAAUCCGUCGUCAAGAGGGAAACAACCCAGACUACCAGCUAAGGUCCCUAAAUCUUACUUAAGUGGAAAACGAUGUGAAGUUACUUAAACAACCAGGAGGUUGGCUUAGAAGCAGCCAUCCUUUAAAGAAAGCGUAAUAGCUCACUGGUCUAGUGAUUUUGCGCGGAAAAUAUAACGGGGCUAAAGUAAGUACCGAAGCUGUAGACUUGCGCACAACUUAGAUUAUUUAAGUUUAGAAUAUGAGAAACUAAGUUAUAUGUUUAGUUAUAUUUUUACUGAUUUUUAUAGAGUAAAGAUAGAAAUAAAACUUAGUAAAAUCAGUAAAAAUAUUCUUAGACUAAAGUUAAGUAGUUUAAGUUGUGUGCAAGUGGUAGGAGAGCGUUCUAUUUGCGUCGAAGGUAUACCGGUAAGGAGUGCUGGAGCGAAUAGAAGUGAGCAUGCAGGCAUGAGUAGCGAUAAUUAAUGUGAGAAUCAUUAACGCCGUAAACCCAAGGUUUCCUACGCGAUGCUCGUCAUCGUAGGGUUAGUCGGGUCCUAAGUCGAGUCCGAAAGGGGUAGACGAUGGCAAAUUGGUUAAUAUUCCAAUACCAACAUUAGUGUGCGAUGGAAGGACGCUUAGGGCUAAGGGGGCUAGCGGAUGGAAGUGCUAGUCUAAGGUCGUAGGAGGUUAUACAGGCAAAUCCGUAUAACAAUACUCCGAGAACUGAAAGGC
rnacentral:rRNA from 1 species